rnacentral:lncRNA from 1 species
AAAAACUUAAUACACGGUUAGAUUCAGCAUAUUAGUAAUUGUAACUAACUGUGUUUACUCUCUUUAAAUAAAGAAUUUUUUAUUAUUAUUAACGAACCUCAAGAACAAAACCCCAUUGAAGAUGGCUAAAAUAUAAGGGCAACACUUGAAAAUCUGUAUUUUUAGAAAGAGAAAAUCUGAACAUAGAGCAAAACUGUUCAUAAUAUCGAGAUCUAUACCUUCUUCCUUAUUCUAACAAAAUUAGCAGAUAACUCCUUAUGGGUGAUUAACUUAUAAAAAGACGAUCCUUGACUAAUUUUCGAGUGUUGCCUAUUGUAUCUCGAACCAUAUGAUAGUAAGGUAGAAAGUGUAAACAGCAAAUAUGGUCUACAAAGCUACUAGUAGACUCAUUAUAGAAGUGUUUGCCCUUAAAAUGUUUUCAACCGUUUUACGAGUUUUGCCGUUCAUUUUUAGAAAAAAAAACAUCAUUCAGUGUAUGCUCACUUGUAUUAAUAUGUCUUUUGAUUGAGUUAGAAUUAAGCCAUUUCAAUACAUAUUUAUAGUGUGGCUUUCAAUGUUGUGAUGUAAACACUAUUGUUUCAGAUAAGGGUGAAGGUUUGGUACCACUACAAAGUUUAAACCCGCUGCAAUUGUUUGCACCUGUCUUAAGUCGGGAAUCUGAUGUGAUGAUUAUAGAUUAUGUUAAUAUUCUUUUCUAAAAUUUGAAGUAGAUAUGUCAGAGAUAUAUACAGUAUAUCGUUGGUCUGUUGCUCAUAGUUUGUAGUCGACUGUAAAUUUCAAGAAAAAAGAUAAACCUGUUUUAUGCUUGAUCCCAAGUAAUACGAAUUUAUCAGAAUAUACGACAUAAUUUGCAAGAGACAUUUGUUUUAUGUCUCGAGGCAGGGACUGUCUAUACUAAUAGAAAAGUCCCUGCUCGAGGUUAUGCAUCCAUUUAGUUUCGUAUGAAUACGAACAGAAUUAUGGAAGGAAAUAUCCGCCAA